GACGAACGCUGGCGGCGUGCUUAACACAUGCAAGUCGAACGGAAAGGCCCUGCUUUUGUGGGGUGCUCGAGUGGCGAACGGGUGAGUAACACGUGAGUAACCUGCCCUUGACUUUGGGAUAACUUCAGGAAACUGGGGCUAAUACCGGAUAGGAGCGCCUGCUGCAUGGUGGGGGUUGGAAAGUUUCGGCGGUUGGGGAUGGACUCGCGGCUUAUCAGCUUGUUGGUGGGGUAGUGGCUUACCAAGGCUUUGACGGGUAGCCGGCCUGAGAGGGUGACAGGCCACAUUGGGACUGAGAUACGGCCCAGACUCCUACGGGAGGCAGCAGUGGGGAAUAUUGCACAAUGGGCGGAAGCCUGAUGCAGCAACGCCGCGUACGGGAUGACGGCCUUCGGGUUGUAAACCGCUUUCGCCUGUGACGAAGCGUGAGUGACGGUAAUGGGUAAAGAAGCACCGGCUAACUACGUG
rnacentral:rRNA from 1 species